GUGAGGAAUAUUGGUCAAUGGCCGAGAGGCUGAACCAGCCAUGCCGCGUGCGGGAAGACGGCCCUAUGGGUUGUAAACCGCUUUUGUCGGGGAGCAAUAAGUCUUACGAGUAAGAUGAUGAGAGUACCUGGCGAAUAAGCAUCGGCUAACUCCGUGCCAGCAGCCGCGGUAAUACGGAGGAUGCAAGCGUUAUCCGGAUUUAUUGGGUUUAAAGGGUGCGUAGGCGGGAUUUUAAGCGUGAGGUGAAAUGCCACGGCUCAACCGUGGAACUGCCUCGCGAACUGGGAUUCUUGAAUGCCCCUGCCGUGGGAGGAAUGUGUGGUGUAGCGGUGAAAUGCAUAGAGAUCACACAGAACACCGAUUGCGAAGGCAUCUCACGAAGGGGUGAUUGACGCUGAGGCACGAAAGCGUGGGGAUCAAACAGG
rnacentral:rRNA from 1 species